UACAGAGGGUGCGAGCGUUAAUCGGAAUUACUGGGCGUAAAGGGCGCGUAGGCGGUUAUAUGUGUGGGAUGUGAAAGCCCUGGGCUUAACCUGGGAAGUGCAUACCAAACUGUAUAACUGGAGUAUAUGAGAGGGUAGCGGAAUUUCCGGUGUAGCGGUGAAAUGCGUAGAGAUCGGAAGGAACGCCGAUGGCGAAGGCAGCUACCUGGCAUAAUACUGACGCUGAGGCGCGAAAGCGUGGGGAGCAAACAGG
rnacentral:rRNA from 1 species